CCUACUUUCUGCCUCCAAUAAAAGAAGCCAACGCCGCUGCUCCCAGGACCAGCUCUACAACAUUCAAUGAGACGAACUGGCCAUUUUUUCUUCCGAAGCCGCCACCCAGGACGUGAUGAUUUAUACAGAGAUUUACACAGGAUCCUCGAUGACAAUGACCGGCCCUUUGAAUUACCGAAGCCCACACCCAGGACUUGAUGCUUUAAAAAAUAAAGUUUUGAAAAAUAAAUAUUUGACUUUGAGGUUUUUUUCACUAGCAUUGCUUUAAGAAAGUUUUGAAAAAUAAAUCUUUGACUUUGAGGGUUUUUUUUUUUUUACUUUACCAUUGGUUUAAUAAAGUUUUGAAAAAAUAGAUGUUUGACUUUGAGAGUUUUUUUCACUUAACACAAGUGGCUUACAAAAAUGCUUGAAACAAACAUCUUAAUCAACAUUUCUGACCACUCAUUAUCUAUAUAUGUCUACCAAUAAAACUCAACAGAUUUCUCUAUAGCCAUGACAAAGCAUGAUGACUGUCCCUCAAAGAAAAUAUACAGGGUUGAGCUUCCACAACCAGAUUGAUCCCUUUGAUUUUAGGCGCAAACAUAAACAUACAGCAUGAUUAAUUCUUUUAUCAAUUGUAUUAACCUGUUGGGUGUGUUUAUGUGUUAUUUAUAAUUAUGAAAAAAUUGUUUUGAAAAAUUAAAAAGCAGAAAAAAGUGGGACGAGAAGAUCUUUAAGCCUCCAUUUAUUUAUUUAUUUAUUACAGAUACAUUUCGCGGAGGAUCCUCGAUGACAAUGACCGGCCCUUUAAGUUACCGAAGCCCACACCCAGAACUAGAAGCUUUAAGAAAUAAAGUUUUGAAAAAUAAAUCUUUGACUUUGAGGUUUUUUUUAACUUUACCAUUGCUUUAAUAAAAUUUUGAAAAAUAAAUCUUUGACUUUGAGGUUUUUUUCACUUUACCAUUGCUUUAAUAAAUAAAGUUUUGAAAAAUAAAUCUUUGACUUUGAGGUUUUUUUCACUUUACCAUUGCUUUAAUAAAUAAAGUUUUGAAAAAUAAAUCUUUGACUUUGAGGUUUUUUUCACUUUACCAUUGCUUUUU
rnacentral:lncRNA from 1 species